AGAGCACAGUGUUGCCCUGAGCUAUCUGCUGCUACCAAGGAGAGGCACCCCUCUCUGAACAGAGGAGGAUCUGGAGGGCCACAGGGUCUAAAGAUUCAAGUAUGACCUGACCUGAAGGCAAGGAAGAUAGCUCCGAUUUUGCUACCAACGAGGUCCAGAUGGGCAUCUUUCUACUCUCUUCUUUUGCUGUUGUACACUCCUGUGAGCCGCAGUCAAAACAGCUCAGGAGUCACUCAAGUCUUCACGUAUCUUGACGCACUUGAGGCUAUAUUCUCAAUCCAUGUAUUCGCAAGCUCCACUUACACUGGAGCCUCUGUGAGGAACACCACAUCCCUCCAGGAACGCAGAACACAUCCUGCCUUGCCCUUGUUCUCCCACAAGGCCCUGGACACACCUGCAUCUCACACUUAGACUGAUCUGGUUUUGUG